UCAACUGUGUUUACGAGUGUCUUGUGUUCAGAUUGUUUUAAGUGAUAAUUUAACAAUAUUUUUCCAAAUAAAUGGAAAGAAACUUUUAUUUAUAUCAAAUAAUUGAGUGUCUCGACUGUGUGACAUUAUGUCUUGUGUGGUAUGGGGCUGCAGCUCACAUUCAGGAAGAAAAGAAAAUAGCCAACAACUUCUGUCGUUUCAUCGAUAUUAAAUCCAAAAGUGUCGACUGGAUUUACAUGAAAAGUCAGUUCAAGAAGACGAGAUGAAAAAUUUAAAAGAAAAGCUGAACAAGUCCCGCCUCAAGAUCAAACGACUUAAUGAAAAAAAAAACAAUGUGUCAGGGUGUCACAAAGACAGUUUCUAAGCAAAUUGACACUGUUUAGAAAUUAAUAAAUUUGUAUUUAUUGUAAAUAUAAUGUACAUAAUUAAUAACGUGUGAAAUAAAUACUUGCUAAUGAAAAUG